ACUCUGCUACUUAAAUAAAAGCGAAAAACGGUGGUUUCAUUCUGACCUAACAAAGGAUUUUGUUGUUCCUCUUUCAAACGAUUCAUUAUUGUGAAGUAUACUCAGAGUAUUAGUAUUAGGAGACGGAAAUAUAUCAUGAUGAAAAGAGGGUUCUUUCUUUCCUUAAAGUAUUGAUUGGAGCAUUAUACUUACAAGUUCUGAGAAAAGGUUGAGGAAAAGAUAAAUACAACAAUUGAAGAUUGAGCAAAUAAAGGAGUCCUACCCAAUCAAGGAGAUAAAUGGUAACAAGGAAUGAAACUAACUGAGAGUCCUAUAGAAAGAAGACUGCAUCAUCUAAAGAACUCUAUGGCUUAAAUAGAACAGAUUGCACAAAGGAGUUUCACUCACGCACGGAUAAGAAAAGCAUCAAUCAGCAAAUCAGUUCACUAGCUUGAAGAGGAACCUGGUCCUUUACUUAGAGACUUGUAGACUUUGUGUAAUAGGUUGGUUCUUUGAGUUGUAAUGAGUCUUAUUUCU